UACGUGGGGUGCAAGCGUUAUCCGGAUUUACUGGGCGUAAAGCGUUUCGUAGGCGGUUUGGUAAGUUAUGCUUCAAAGACCACGGCUUAACCGGGGGAAGGGGUGUAAUACUGCCAGACUUAGAGGGUUCAAGGGGCAAUCGGAACUGUUGGUGUAGUAGUGAAAUACGUUGAUAUCAACAGGAACGUCAAGGGCGUAGGCAGAUUGCUGGGGAACUUCUGACGCUGAGGAACGACAGCUAGGGUAGCGAAAGGG
rnacentral:rRNA from 1 species